UUCUUUUCUUUUACAUCCAUAUUUACAUAAAUAUAAAUUACAAAAAAAAAAUCAAAACUAAACAAAUUACAUUAAACAAUUAUAAAACUACAAAACAGUCCCUAAAUAGUCCAAGAAGUGCAGGGAAGUCCAUUUAGAACCGCAGGAACAGUGCUCGGGAAGGUUGCUGGGGCAGAAAUCACUGGCGGCGCGUCUUCCCACGCGCCACCGUCACUGGCGGCGCGUGGGUUCACGCGCGCCGCCGAUGAAGGGCAAAAAACAGUGGAUCGGGAACGCCUUCUUCCCCCCUUCCUUCCUCCACCGGCGGUGAGGGUCACCGUCGCCUGCAACAAUAACAAAAAUGCACAACAAGCAGUCGGUUUUAAAUUUUUCUUUUGGUCCAGAUCCGUGUUCGGGUCUCCUCUAUUUCGGAUCUGUUUUGGUUCUUCUUUUCAGAGCUGCUCCCUCUGUUAAUCCUUUCUUCUUUUGGGUUCUGCGGCGCCGUUGCGUGUUCCUGUCCGGAUGGUUGAAGAUCGAAGAAGUGGCUGGUGGUUGGAGGCGGACAGAACUAAAAUCUGUAGGCGCCGCUGUGUCGGGGUAGCCGCUAGAGGCCGUUGGGUCUGCGGGGAUGAGGGAGGAGCUGUGUGCGGGGUGGUCGGUCCACGGUGGUUGAGAAAGGAGAUGGACGGUGGGCUGUGCAAGGGCUGAGGAGGCGACCUCGAAAGAGGGAGAACCGGCUGAGGGAGGGGGCAGUUGUGUUUGGUCGGUGGGAGAAGAAAAAAUCAAAGCCAAGGGGAAGGAGAGGAUGAGCGGCGGCUGCAAACGGGGAAAGGAAGAAAAUCUUUUUGGGUGAUGACGGGGGGGGGCUUUGGGAGAUGACAGUGAAGAGGUUGGGCUGUGUGAUCGGGAGAGGAGGAAAUACCGUGGGAUGAGCGGCGGUUUCCGGAGAGAAAAAAAACUAAAGCCGUGAGGGGGCGGCUCCUUUUGUUAGAGAUGGGUUUAGGGUUAGGGAUUUUUUUUUGUAUUUUUUCAGAUGUUGUCAAAAUUGCCCCCCCCCUCUUUGCAAGUGUUGGAAACCAGUAUUUAUA
rnacentral:lncRNA from 1 species